GGGUAAAGAGCGGUAACACAUUCAGUUUCACUCGGACUAAAGAGUACCCAAAACCCUAAUCUGGUUCUAGCUCUUCCCGUUCAUCUCACUGAAUCUCGAACCCCGUCACACCAUGGCGAACCAGGAUUACGAAGAGCGCCAGCAACCUCAGGAGCUAGGGUACGACCCUAACUUCGUACCAGACUCGGUGAAAUCGUUCGUGGUGCACCUGUACCGUCACAUCCGUGAGAAGAACGUGUACGAGAUCCACCAGAUGUACGAGAGUUCGUUCCAAACCCUAUCGGAGCGUCUCUUCAAGGACACUCCCUGGCCCUCCGUCGACGCCGUGGCUCACUACGUCGACAACGACCACGUGUUCUGUCUCCUCUACCGCGAGAUGUGGUUCCGCCACCUCUACGCGCGCCUCACCCCCACGCUCCGCCAGAGGAUCGAUUCAUGGGACAACUAUUGCAGCCUCUUCCAAGUCGUUUUACACGGCGUCGUCAACAUGCAGCUUCCGAACCAGUGGCUCUGGGAUAUGGUCGACGAGUUCGUUUAUCAGUUUCAGAGCUUCUGUCAAUACCGUGCGAAGAUGAAGAACAAGACCGAACAAGAGAUUGCUCUACUGAGACAGUUCGACCAGGCUUGGAACGUUUAUGGCGUUCUCAAUUUCUUGCAAGCGCUUGUUGAGAAGUCCGCUAUCAUUCAGAUUCUCGAGCAGGAGAAGGAGGGGCUUGAACAGUUCACGACUACUGAUGGAUAUGAUUAUGAUGGAGGGAGUAAUGUGUUGAAGGUUUUGGGGUAUUUCAGCAUGGUUGGCUUGCUUAGGGUUCAUUGCCUUUUGGGGGAUUAUCACACUGGUCUCAAGUGCUUGCUUCCUAUUGAUAUUAGUCAACAGGGUGUUUACACCAGCGUUAUUGGUAGCCACAUUACCACCAUUUAUCACUAUGGCUUUGCCAAUCUUAUGCUCCGCAGAUAUGUGGAAGCAAUUCGUGAAUUUAAUAAAAUUCUCUUGUACAUCUAUAAGACGAAGCAGUAUCAUCAGAAAUCUCCACAAUAUGAACAAAUACUGAAAAAGAAUGAACAGAUGUAUGCCUUGCUGGCAAUUUGUCUUUCACUCUGCCCCCAAAGCAGACUUGUUGAUGAAACUGUGAACUCUCAGUUGCGAGAGAAGUAUGGUGAGAAGAUGGUUAGAAUGCAGAGAUAUGAUGAUGAGGCAUUCGCUAUCUAUGAUGAGCUCUUCUCAUACGCAUGCCCCAAGUUCAUUACUCCUUCAGCACCUAGUUUUGAGGAGCCUCUAGUAAAUUACAACCAGGAUGCCUAUAGACUUCAAUUGAAAUUGUUCCUUUAUGAAGCAAAGCAACAACAGUUGUUAUCUGGUGUGCGAACCUUCUUGAAAGUGUAUUCAACAAUCUCCCUUGCAAAACUUGCAAGUUACAUGGAAGUGGAUGAACCUACCUUAAGGACUAUCUUGAUGACUUACAAGCAUAAAACACAUGCUGUUGAUAGUGAUGGAAAAAUUAUAUCCAAUGCUGAUGUGGAUUUCUAUAUUGAUGAUGUAAGUUUGCUCACUAUUUUCUCUUCAAUAAUCCUUUUCUCACUAAGGAUACUCUUAUUUCAAAUACUGUUUAGGAAUGUUAAAAGAUUUUCUGGGCCAUAUUGGUACCAGUGUCCUUUUCAGUUGAAAUUGUUUCUUUGAUAAUAAUAGCAUUUUCUUACUCUCAUAAUCUUUGUUCAAUUAAUGAUCAAGUCUCUUGGGAUGGCAGUUUGUAUCUUAAAUGUUGCCUGCAAAUUUUGAAUUUCUUUUUCAUUUGAUGCAGGACAUAAUUCAUGUCGUGGAGUCUAAGCCUGCGAAACGCUAUGGGGAUUACUUCUUGCGUCAGAUUGUCAAGCUUGAAGGGGUGAUCAAUGAGAUGGACGGUAUAAAGCUGGAGUGAGUUGUUACAUGUCGGCGGCUAAAUGGACGUCGUAAUAUAUAGCGUUGUCGGUUUCACUCUCUACGGGGCUUGCCGGGCUAGGUAGUGUUUAACCUGAGGAGUAUUCAAUGUGUUGUUUUGAGGUGGAGGAUAUAGAUAGAUUUCUAGAUUUAUUUAUUUCUCUCAACUUGAUUUUAUUUAAUGAAAUUACUUGUCCAUUUAUUGUUUCAAAAGAGGGCUUAAAGAAUUUUACAAUUCUUCCGGUGGGUUGCUCCUUUUAUUCAUGAUUUAUAGCUGAACACUUCGUCUUCUGCCCCCUGCAACAAAGUUAUUUUGUAUAGAUCAUGGAAUGCUUUAGCGGCUGAAUUAAUUGACCGGUCAGCAAGAUAA